rnacentral:rRNA from 1 species
GACGAACGCUGGCGGCGUGCCUAAUACAUGCAAGUCGAGCGAACCUGAUAAAAGCUUGCUUUUUGAAGGUYAGCGGCGGACGGGUGAGUAACACGUGGGCAACCUGCCUGUAAGACUGGGAUAACUUCGGGAAACCGGAGCUAAUACCGGAUAAUAUAAAGAACCUCCUGGUUCUUUAUUGAAAGAUGGUUUCGGCUAUCACUUACAGAUGGGCCCGCGUCGCAUUAGCUAGUUGGUGAGGUAAYGGCUCACCAAGGCGACGAUGCGUAGCCGACCUGAGAGGGUGAUCGGCCACACUGGGACUGAGACACGGCCCAGACUCCUACGGGAGGCAGCAGUAGGGAAUCUUCCACAAUGGACGAAAGUCUGAUGGAGCAACGCCGCGUGAGCGAUGAAGGCCUUCGGGUCGUAAAGCUCUGUUGUUAGGGAAGAACAAGUACCGGAGUAACUGCCGGUACCAUGACGGUACCUAACCAGAAAGCCACGGCUAACUACGUGCCAGCAGCCGCGGUAAUACGUAGGUGGCAAGCGUUGUCCGGAAUUAUUGGGCGUAAAGCGCGCGCAGGCGGUUUCUUAAGUCUGAUGUGAAAGCCCACGGCUCAACCGUGGAGGGUCAUUGGAAACUGGGAAACUUGAGUGCAGAAGAGGAGAGUGGAAUUCCACGUGUAGCGGUGAAAUGCGUAGAGAUGUGGAGGAACACCAGUGGCGAAGGCGACUCUCUGGUCU